UCCGCCCCCUCCCCUCGGGAGGCCCUCUCCGGCGGAGGCCGGGCCCGCGCCGGCGGUGGGUCACGCGCCUGCGAGCCGCGGAGCUCUGCUCUGCAGUGGGCCGAGGGGCGGGCUGCGGCUUUCCGUGGGGCUUCCCAAGGCCGCUGGCGCACAGGCCGGCCAUCAGCGCUUCCUCGCUGCUGGUUACUGCUCGUUUUCGUUUAGUGGGGACUGAGUCGCUCUUUAUACACGCCUCCGAAAUAGGUAGGAUACCUUUGGCCUGGGGAGUGCUGCAGAGGCCAGAGACCUUGUCCACCCAGGCUUUUGCUCUGCAGACCCUUUCCGUAAGCGACUGUUUACGUGGAAAUGCCACUGGAGAUUUUCUGUAAAGCUGGUAAAAUGAACUGUUACAGAUAUUUCUGCUGUGAUUGCGAACUGCACUUACUGAGUAGGUCAUGGGCACUGACUGGAGAGAUGAAACAACACGGAGAAAAGAGCUGUAGGCAGAGACUUUGUAGUCAAGAGGUGGUCCACUGGUAUUACACUGAGACCCCCUCAGCAACUGGCCAACAGACCCGGUUCAUCACUCCUGUGAGAAUUGCUAUUGAGGAGUAAAUUUGUGUUUGAGUGAUUAUGUAUUUUUUUUAUGUAUUAUUAUGUUGAGUCUUAGUCAUGUUAAUUGUUUUAAAUGAUAGUUUUGAUACUUUGAGGUAAGCUUUUUGUGGUUUUUUGUUUGAGUUUUUUGGUAACUAAAUAUUAUACAAGUAUUUUUUGGUGAUUUUAGUAAUUUUAAUUUUUGUGGUUUAACUGUAAUUUGGGUAAGAGUGUAUAAAUUGUUUUUUAAGUUUAUAGUAUGUAUUGGAUUAUUUGAUUUACAAUUUAAAUUUUGUGCGGGGUAAGGUUAGUUGUUAAGAGGUAUACUAACAACGUAUGUAGAAAAUGGAUUUUUAGGAUUGGUGACUGAUAAACACUAUUUGGAUGUGUGGUUUUAGUUAGUGUUGCUUAUUAGUUUUGUUUUGGUUGUAGAACUAUUUAUGAUGGGGUUUUUUUGUGUGUUUUAAAUAAGGUUUGACACAGUGAGUAGGAAUCUCAUAUGAUUUUUUUUUAUGGAAACAGAAGUAUAACUUUUUCUGUAGGUUAUGAAAUUUACGGGACUACUUUAUUGACUAUUUACUAAGUCUUGUACUUGAGUAGGGUUUUGAAACUCUGAUUUUGACAUCAAAGAAGAAAAUGAGUAACCGAAGGAGGUAGAGAAGUUUUCUCCUUAUGGGAUAAAAAGGGUUUAACAUAGAAACUGCUUUGUCUAAUCUUCCGUGGGGGGGUGUCCGUGGGACGGCCGGGCCGCGCGCGGGACUCGGCAGCGGGAGCGCAGCGAGCUGUGCGCGUUGGGCGGGAGGCGGCGCCGCCCUCAGCGAGCAGAGCUGAGCCGAGCAGAGCGAGCGGCUCCGAGUUCAGCCGAAACGAACCGAGCUGAGCCGAACGCAGCGAGCGGCUCCGAGUUCGGCCGAACCGAGCCGAGCUGAGCCAAAGAGGAGAAUGCAGCCGAUAAUAGCCGAGCUUCGCCGAGCGCAGCAUCACGCGCAGGGCAGGGCGGGUUCGGGGUGGAGCCGGGGCUCUGUGAGGCCCGCUUGUCCCUCUCUCUCCCUCUCUUUCCUCCUCCUCGUAUUCCUCUUCUUUGUCCCCGAGACCCUACUCUCGUCUCCCUCCCAAUCCCGACUCCCUGUCCCCGCCGCUUCUUCUUGGCUGUCCCUACCCCGCUACUCCCUUCUGUUCCCCCUCUCUCCCUCCUCUGUCCACCCUCCCUCUACCCCUCUCCCGGGCUUUCCCUUUCCCUCCCGCAUUCCUGCACAGCCCGACCUCCCUCGCCGCCCUUUCUCAUGCCCUGCUCUCGCUCCUGUCUUCCCGUGCCCCGUUUUCCUCUUUGCCCCGCAGCCGCGGGGCUCGGGGUGCCGGAGAAUAAAGGCCCGAGGUCCGGAGCCCGGCGCCGCUCGGUCCUUGCAGGAGUCCCCGCACGGGGCCGGAGGCUCUCGGCGGAUCCCCCCCGUGCCGGUCAGACGCCUCGCCCGACAGCGCCGGAGCUGCGGCUUUCCCGGCACGGCGCCGAGAGCGGCCCCCGCUCAGUGCCGCGCCGUGCCCGCCGUCGGUGCCGCUCCCUCUCGCUGCCCCUGGCCCGGGACAGCGAGGCUGGGGAAGAACCUCAACGCUUCUGGGGGCCGCCCCCCCUUUCUUGUUGCAGCAGAAUCCCUUUCUGCGGGCAUGGACGUGUGGAAAGGGCUUGGAGGAAGCGCUGCGCUGCUGUCCGGGGCAGUCGGACUCGUUCUGUGCCUUCUUUAGGGGUCAGGAAAAGGGGGUGAAGACUCGGGGCUCUGAUGCCUUUUGGGGCAUCCCAAGGUCCCCAGGAGAGGGAGCCCCACUACGGUGCAGGAGCGGGACUGCGAGAGCUUCUCACAGGGUCGGGGGGACACCUGGAGCCGCGCUUGGAUACGUGGAGCGUCGCUUAAAGGAGGUGCCGAGGGGCGAAUCUUUGUGCCGGGGAGCAGCAGCCGAACAGGUCCGUGCUGGUUGCCGUGUCCUCGGUGGGCAGAGAGCUCUGACCUUGGCCGGAUGGGCUGCCAAUUCUGAAGCACUGAGCAGAGAGCUGCCUGGGAGGCAGAGCAGAGCCGAUCUCUGAGAGCUGACACGGGAGCUCUGGUGAGGACAGCUGCUCCCCUGCCUCGGUGUGGGACCUGCUGAGCUCCCGUUCCUGUGGUGGGAGUGUUUCUCCUCUCAUCCAGCCAAGCCAGAGACCUCCUAGAGAAUGGGCAGCAGAGUGCAGCCACCCAAGAAAGGAUUUUUUGUGGCUCAGCCAGAUGUUCUCCUGCCUCCCGCCAAGACCCUGAGAUGGAGCUGAGUUUGCAUUCCAAUUUAUUGGAACAGAGGCUCAUCAGAAGUUUCCUCAGCUAUCUGAGGCACAGAGCCCUGGAGCCAAGUAAGCCUGAGCUGCUGCAUGCUUGCUGUGAGCCUUGGGGACAGCGUGAAGACUGAAAGUGUAAGAAGAUGUGGAGGGAAACAGAGAAUCUGACGGGAGCAUCGAACGCACAAGUGCACAAAUUUUGCUUGGAUUUAAACUCAGAAGUUGUAAGGAAUUUGGGAAUGAGAAGGGACAUUUCAGAAGGAGAAGAAGGAGAAGAAGUUGUUGUUACAGUCCUGGCAUAAUCUUUUGUUCUAGCUAAUAAAGGAAGUUAGUUUAAAUUAAAAAAAAGAAAAAAAUGUGGGGUUUUUUUCUUCACUAUUAUAUUCAUUGGUGGUAUAUGGUGUGUUGUUUUAUUUCUUGGUAUUAUUAACUCUGUGUAAAUUGUUUUUUGAGUGAAGCUAACUUUCUGGAUGGGUUGGUUUGUAUUUGAGGUAGGAUUAAUUACAAUAGGUUUCUUUAAUAGAGUUCUGAUAGGUAUUACUUGGGUUUUGGUUUUGUUUGCUGUAUAUAUAAACAUACACAUUUGGUAGGGCCAGCUUGGCUGCUGGAGUUUAGCAAAUGACCUAAAUUGUUUUUUUGUUACAUCCUAUGAUCAGUUUUAGGCAGUGACUUUAUACUGCUUUUAGGAUUUUCUUAUGCAAUGGUGAGAAAAUAGGCAGGUCUGAUACUUGUUUGACUUUUUUUGUACUUAAUGUUUCAUGAAAUUCUGUAAGCCAAGCGAUCUACUGGUUAAACUAUA